AUAAAGCAGUUGGAAGUGCAGCCGGAGGAGUCCCAUCCUCAGGCAAAACCCAGGCCCAAGGGAAAGGGACAGCUCCCCAGUGCCUUACCAUGGAGCACCUCUGAUGCGUGCUGUUACUCCAGUGUGCGCAUCUUCACAGCCAGCUGUGGAGAACCCAAAGGGGCUCCUAAUCCAGUGUCCAAGGAAGGUUUAUUAAAAGCCCAUACCUGAUGUUUAAGGCAAAACUCAAUUCUUGAAAAUAAGUUCUCCCAUGGAGAAGCAAGAGUGCAUUGCGCCCUCUCCUUGUCUUAACUCCCUUCCUACAGUCAAACAUGAGGAAGGCAAGACAGGCUACAACCAAAUAAACAACCACCGCUGCAUCAGGGAUCAGGGAACAUCUGCCAGGCAGGAUGUUCUAGGGCUCUGCGUUAUCCCAACCACUCUAAAAGUAUGAUGAGCCUACAGGUCCCAGGAAAAUUUUUUCCGUAAGGCUUUUAUUAGAAGCCCUCCCAGGCUUGGGGUGAGAAGUAGAAGCGAUUGAAUAACAUACAUCAAUGUUAACUAAAGAAUGAGAACUAAGUGGCACCAUCUGAUCUGGAAACCUCCAAACUCCUCCACAUCUAGUAAAGAUUAUGGACCAAACUAUUCUUUUACUCAGUGGAAUAAAUCAGAGCCCAAUCUCUGAGGUGAAAUGAAUAAUAUACAGAAGGUGGUAAGAAUAAUUUUAUUGUAUUAUUAAAUAGCAUGUCUUCUCUUUAACCAUUACAAAUCUGUGGAUACUACAUGAAUGACAAUACAUAAUUUAUAUUUCUAUUGUUGCCUGUAUGAUAUAUUUACACAUGCAGUUAGUACAGAUGCCAUGCUACGUUUCGUCAUAGCAGAAUAUGCCCGACUUAAAAUGUGAGCAUUUCAUCAUCUAUAGGAAAAUACCUCUUGGUGGGUGGAAUGUGUGCACUAACCUGUGCUCACAAAGUCAGGAUCAUCAGCAUUUCAGGUUGGACUCCUAGAGUGUGUUCCCUUUUCUUCCAUAGUACACAGCAUUGGAGCAAUGAAUUUACAUUGGAAAAGUGCUUCUUUAUGUAAGAAUAAUAUACAUCUAGAUCCAGCAGCCUGAUGAUAAAAGGCUACAUACUCAGAGCAAAAGAGCAUUUACUACUGAUACCACAUUAGAAAAAUAUUUGGAAGCCAAGCAUAAUCAGAAUUUCAGCACAGUGAUUUUUCUUAUUUCCGGUAUAGUUUAUGGCAUCACCUGCACAGUUAUGAAAUAAUAUAUUGCAUUGUAAAGGAAGAGUUGGUGCUGAUAGCAAGUUAUGUUUUGUUUGGACUCUGAAAUGCUAAAAGACUGUUUACUUUAAGUAUUUUAUUCUUAUAACAUAAAUAAAUCUGUACACAUCCUGUGCAUUAACAUAUGACCUUUAACGAGGACUUUACAAAUGCAUCUUCAAUUUAAAAUUGUACAUUCAUUUUCAAAUUGUACAUAUUUAUUUCUUUGUUACAGAGAAAAUUGCGAUGGGACACAAUAAAUAUAGUGUAUAAGA